rnacentral:misc_RNA from 1 species
GAUGAAGAACGUAGCGAAAUGCGAUAAGUAAUGUGAAUUGCAGAAUUCAGUGAAUCAUCGAAUCUUUGAACGCACAUUGCGCCCGCCAGUAUUCUGGCGGGCAUGCCUGUCCGAGCGUCAUUUCAACCCUCGAACCCCUCCGGGGGGUCGGCGUUGGGGACCUCGGGAGCCCCUAAGACGGGAUCCCGGCCCCGAAAUACAGUGGCGGUCUCGCCGCAGCCUCUCCUGCGCAGUAGUUUGCACAACUCGCACCGGGAGCGCGGCGCGUCCACGUCCGUAAAACACCCAACUCUUCUGAAGUUGACCUCGAAUCAGGUAGGAAUACCCGCUGAACUUAAGCAUAUCAAUAAGCGGAGGA